UACAGAGGGGGCAAGCGUUGUUCGGAAUUACUGGGCGUAAAGCGCGCGUAGGCGGCUUUGUAAGUUAGAGGUGAAAGCCCGGGGCUCAACCCCGGAAUUGCCUUUAAGACUGCAUCGCUUGAAUCCGGGAGAGGUGAGUGGAAUUCCGAGUGUAGAGGUGAAAUUCGUAGAUAUUCGGAAGAACACCAGUGGCGAAGGCGGCUCACUGGACCGGCAUUGACGCUGAGGUGCGAAAGCGUGGGGAGCAAACAGG
rnacentral:rRNA from 1 species